UACGUAGGGUGCGAGCGUUGUCCGGAAUUAUUGGGCGUAAAGAGCUCGUAGGCGGCUUGUCGCGUCGGAUGUGAAAGCCCGGGGCUUAACUCCGGGUCUGCAUUCGAUACGGGCAGGCUAGAGUUCGGUAGGGGAGAUCGGAAUUCCUGGUGUAGCGGUGAAAUGCGUAGAUAUCAAGAGGAACACCUGAGGUGAAGACGGGUUGCUGGGCCGACACUGACGCUGACAGCGCGAAAGCCAGGGGAGCAAACGGG
rnacentral:rRNA from 1 species